GACGAAGGGGGCUAGCGUUGUUCGGAAUUACUGGGCGUAAAGCGCGUGUAGGUGGUUGUCGUAGUCAGGUGUGAAAGCCUUGAGCUCAACUCAAGAAAUGCACUUGAUACUCGGCGGCUAGAGGACCGGAGAGGAUAGUGGAAUUCCCAGUGUAGUGGUGAAAUACGUAGAGAUUGGGAAGAACACCAGUGGCGAAGGCGGCUAUCUGGACGGUUUCUGACACUAAGACUCGAAAGCGUGGGGAGCAAACAGG
rnacentral:rRNA from 1 species